CAGCAGCCGCGGUAAAACGAAGGGUGCAAGCGUUAAUCGGAAUUACUGGGCGUAAAGCGUGCGUAGGCGGUGAGUUAAGUCUGCUGUGAAAUCCCCGGGCUCAACCUGGGAAUGGCAGUGGAUACUGGCUCGCUAGAGUGUGUCAGAGGAUGGUGGAAUUCCCGGUGUAGCGGUGAAAUGCGUAGAGAUCAGGAGGAACAUCAGUGGCGAAGGCGGCCAUCUGGGACAACACUGACGCUGAGGCACGAAAGCGUGGGGAGCAAACAGGAUUAGAUACCCCAGUAGUCCCUGUCUCUUAUAA
rnacentral:rRNA from 1 species